UGUAUGAUGAUAUUGAUUGGUCCGUGUUUAUGAAUUUAUAUUGAUUUCUACCCUCCAAUCACUGACUCAG